UCAACCAGCCAAGGAAUAUUGAGGAUGAUAGAGGAAUGAGGGGGCAGAUUAGUUGACAUUUCUGAACCUCCCAGUGGCUCUGGAGAGUGGUCACAGUCAGCAGUGUUGUCUGAUUCGUAACUGGGCCAGAGAAGAUGGGGGGCCCCCAUCAAUGGAUUCUACCAAACCAGGGAUGCUGCUACAUCGAGUGGGGAUGUUAUGGGUCCAAGCAAAAUCUAGGUCCACGAAGUUGUCUGAGGACCUUGAAUCCACCAGCAUUCACUGCCCAAUCUCAGACCUGGGGGUCGUCAGGGCUUGAUGUCGAUCCAGGAAACAGAGGUGACGGAGAGCUUGGGUGACGGAGAGCGAGUCGUAGAUGAAGUGGUUGGCUCUGGUUCAGCUCAAGAAGUUGAUUGCGUAAGCUCAUCUGCUGCUGGCUGUUUUUCCUUGAAAAACAUGGUGAUCGGCAACUGUCA